rnacentral:tRNA from 1 species
GGGGCUCAGUGGUAGAAUAUCUGCUUGGCAUGCAGAAGAUCCCUGGUUUGAUCCCCGGAGACUCCA